GAUGAACGCUGGCGGCGUGCCUAAUACAUGCAAGUCGAGCGAACAGACGAGUAGCUUGCUUCUCUGACGCUAGCGUCGGCCGGGUGAGUAACACGUGGAUAACUUACCUAUAAGACUGGGAUACCUUCGGGAAACCGGAGCUAAUACCGGAUAUUAUAUUGAACCGCAUGGUUCAAUAGUGAAAGACGGUUUUGCUGUCACUUAUAGAUGGAUCCGCGCCGCAUUAGCUAGUUGUUAAGGUAACGGCUUACCAAGGCAACGAUGGGUACCCGACCAGAGAGGGUGAUCGGCCACACUGGAAGUGAGUCUCGGUCCAGACUCCUACGGGAGGCAGCAGUAAGGAAGCUUCCGAAGUGGGCGAAAGCCUGACGGAGCAACGCGGCGUGAGGGAUGAAGGAAUGCGGUGCGUAAUACACUGGUAUGAGAGAGGAACAAGUGUGUAAGUAACGAUGCUCAUCUUGAGAAUACAGAAACAGAAAACCACGACUAGAAAGUAG
rnacentral:rRNA from 1 species